GAGGCAGAAAUGAAUUAGUGGCGCACAAAGCCCAGUGGCCUGUGGGAGAAUGAGUCUCAGAGAGGAAGGAAGGCCAGCUUCGGGUUGGAAGGAGCCCUGUGCAGAAGGACGACUGUCCUUGAACAACUUCAGAAUUGGCAACUGGAUCCUGAUUAGGCCUGGCGUUUGGCACUGCUGGAAGUGAGGGGCGGAAACACUGGGGACAGACAGGUGUGAGCUUCCCAUGUGGUAAUCAGCUCGCACCUGUCUUGUAUCCUUGCUAUUCAUAGACUUUCAGAAUGUCACAGCCGGAGAAGACCUCAGGGACCAUCUCAUUCAAUCCCUCUGCAGGAUAGAGGCCUAAGGUCACACCAAAUGGGGCAGAACAGCCAGAGCCCAGUUCUUCAGAUUCCCAGCUUCCACUGCUCCUAGCCAUUCCUGCUUAGGCAGUGCCAAGAUGUCAACCAGUAGCUCAAAGUUGACUUCCUGUCUGACCUCCGACUCUAGCAUCAUCAUCUGGAGAGUUUCCAAAUUUUAUGAGUAUUUUCUCCUGUAAACUUUAAGUCAAUUUGAAGUGAAAGACACUGGGGCUGGAAGUUAUUCUAUUUGAGGAAUCUCACAGCUGAUCUAACUCUUUCCAUAAAUGUUGGGCUUUUAGGUAAUUCCCAAUUUUUUUGCUAUUAUGAAUAAUAUAGAAAUUGACAUUGUUAUACAUUGGUUCCUGUAUUUCUUGUAACCUGUGUUUUAUUUAGAAUAAAUACGAAGAAAUAUUUGAACAACUUCAAGAUAAAUGAACUGGAUCGAUGUAUAUUAAUGUUUGCAAGGAUUUUCUUGAUACAUGGCUCCAAAUGCUUCCCAGAAGAGCUGCACCAGUUCACCCUCUGGUCUCACUGGUUGAUGGGCCUGCCUCCCCACACCCCUGACAACAGUGAAUAUUACAGUAUCUUUAAAACAGAAACAAAUUGUGCUAAUUUGGUAAGUGAAACAUGGCAGGGAUCUCUCACUACUUUAAUUUGAAAUUCUUUCUCCCCCUUUUCCUUAAUUUUUUACAUUAAAUAUUAUUUCAUAGGUUUACUAGCCCAUGGCAUUUCUUCUGUGACUUGUCUAUUCACAGCUGCAUUCCUAGUAUUUCUCCUGCUGGUUUCUAAGAGCUCAGUGUACAUUAUGGCAAUUAACCUGCUUGUUGAGAUCGCUAUUGGAAACAUCUGGUCCUUAGCCUUUGAAAGAUGUAUAUUGAUUCUUGACUUGUAGAGACUUCAAGUUGUUAAUAGUCAACUAUGUCACAUUUUCCUUUUUAGAAAGUCCUUGCUCACAGUGUGAUUAUAGUCACCUAUAUUUUCCUCCUGGAAAGUCACAUUUAAUUCUUUAAUAGAAUUGGAGUUUUUCUGUUUUGUUUCUGGAGUAUAGUUUGAGGUAAGAAGUUGGUAUAUAAUGACAUUUUCUCAAACAGGCAAUUUCUUGGAUAGCAUAUGUUAAAACAGUCCAUUCCUUUCAAAUUAGUUUAUGAUCAUCCUUUUUCCCUUCAUUAGUUUUUAUGUGCUAGGGUCUCCUAGGGCCCUCUUCUGUACUGUUGAUUUAUCUAUACAAUAUUGUGCCAACUGUUGUGGCUUUAUAGCUGUUUUAAUAUCUUGUGGGAAGCCCUUCCUCAUAGUUCUUUCAUUAAAUGCCUUAGCUAUUGCACUGUUUUUUUUUAAGUUAAAAAACAAUUGGAUUUUGUUUGGGAUCCUUACUUAGAAACAUGUUUCUAAAUUCAAAUCUUUUUUUUAUAUUUGUUAA